CCUAAUACAUGCAAGUCGAACGGGUUGAAGUAGCAAUACUUCGAUCAGUGGCGCACGGGUGCGUAACGCGUAUGCAACCUACCUUAAACUGGGGGAUAGCCUUCCGAAAGGAAGAUUAAUACCGCAUAAGAUCACGAGAGGGCAUCUGAUUGUGAUUAAAGAUUUAUUGGUUUAAGAUGGGCAUGCGUGCCAUUAGCUAGUUGGUAGGGUAACGGCCUACCAAGGCUACGAUGGCUAGGGGUUCUGAGAGGAUGAUCCCCCACACUGGCACUGAGAUACGGGCCAAACUCCUACGGGAGGCAGCAAGUAGGGAAUAUUGGGCAAUGGACGCAAGUCUGACCCAGCCAUGCCGCGUGCAGGAAGAAGGCCUUCUGGGUUGUAAACUGCUUUUAUCUGGGAAGAAAAAACCCCUGCGGGGGGAACUGACGGUACCAGAGGAAUAAGCACCGGCUAACUCCGUGCCAGCAGCCGCGGUAAUACGGAGGGUGCAAGCGUUGUCCGGAUUUAUUGGGUUUAAAGGGUGCGUAGGCGGCCGGUAAGUCAGUGGUGAAAGCCUUCAGCUCAACUGGAGAACUGCCAUUGAUACUGCCGGGCUUGAGUA
rnacentral:rRNA from 1 species